rnacentral:rRNA from 8 species
UAAAUAGAGCUUUGCUCGUGAACCAAAUAUGGUGGGCUGGGUUGUCUUUGCGGAAACGCUUGGGCGACUUGUCUACGAAUUGUAAUCAUAAUAUGGGCGGCGGUGAAUCCUUUGCAGACGACUUGAAUGGGAACGGGGUACUGUAAGUGGUAGAGUAGCCUUGUUGCUACGAUCCACUGAGGUUAAGCCCUUGUUCUAAAGAUUUGU